AAGGGGAAACGCUAGCUUGCAGAAGGGAAACUCCAUUUGAAAUGGAGACAGCUUAGGCCAGCAAACUCCUGCCUACACUCUCGCCUACUGUGCAGAGAUGGCAGGCCUACCUGCCUCAAACCCUUCUCAUACUCCAUCUUUCUCUCUCUACCUGCAUCCACUCCCCCUCUCUCUCUCUAAAUCACAUGAAAUAAAAAACCAUUCCCUUUCUCUCUCUAAAACCAGAUGAGCCCUAUCUCUCCCUGCACUCAGUUUCCUCUCUAUCUUUCACAAACUUCAGGAGCCCUAAUAUACCCUCGCGAAUUCUCUCUCUCUCUAAACCAGAAAUACAAGGGAAGCCCUACCAAACUAACGUCUCACUCUCUCUGUCCGCCUCAUUCGACAAUAGAAGUGAAAGUCCUAUCUUAAUCGCAGUCACAGAAGUACGAAUAGUUAUGGGUUAUUGGUUUGAAAACCCUGUGAUGGGUUUAUAGUUAUGGAUUAUUGGUUUGAAAACCCCGUGAUGGGUUUGCAUUUGAGUUUGCAUUUAAAGAUUAUCUCUUUCUCUCUCUGUGAAAUAUAUUGUGUUCACUUGACCUGAGUGUUGUGAAGAUUGGCUUGGCUUCAUCGCUUCUUUGACCAGGUCUGAACCAGGUUAAGUUUCCUGCCUUCUAUUAUUUUCUCCUUUAUUUUUUUUACAUAUAGAUUGAAACUCUACAUCACUACUAUUUGAAACAACCGCUCUGAUCAAUCUGAGUCUAGUGGUUUCUAUUGAUUUCUUUCAAUAUCUCGUUUGAGAUGGCGCAGAAGAAUUACCAGUGUUUGAUGGAUUCUGUGUUUUUGGAGUUGUAAAUGCUUAUCUUAUCUUGUGGUCAUAUUUGUUAAUCCUUAUACAUAGACUGAACUAUCCUUUUUUUAAAAAAAAAAAUUUAUUUUGUGAAUUUUGGUGGCGGGGCUUUGGUUUGGAUGUGGCCUCACAAUCGGAGGUCAUGUGUUUCCAGUAAACAAUCUGUUGGUUUGUGCCCAAUUAACAAGUCAAAGGAGGAGAGAAGUCACGCUGUUUAGUUUUGUGCAGAAAUUUAUUCAUAUUAAGAUGGACAUUUUGGAGGUUUCAAUGUCUGGCUGCUGGAUCAAAGUCUGCAAAAUCUGUGAAGUUCAUGGUUUUGAAAUCUUAAAAGUUGAUGGUUUUCUGUUUUUAUGCAUUCAUGGCUGGAGAAGGAUUUGAAGAAAGCAUAUUAGUACUAAGGUGCAUAACAAUUUGAUUUCGGUGAUGUGGAAUAAAGCUUCUGAUCCUCUUCAUUAUCAUUGUUCUUUGUGGUUUCUGAUCAGUAUAAUUUAUACCAUUGACUAAAACAACAACUUGAAGUGUGGGUGUGUUUAGGGUUUCCAUUGAGAUAUUGCUUGAUUGACAAAGUUUGUUAUGAUAGAACUAUCCACAAUUAGAAACUGAGCAUUUUGUGGAUUACAUUCGGGGUCUUCCUCAGUUACAGUGGACAAUUUAUAAAUCUAGGGUAUUUGGAAGGAGUGUGAGGGGACCCAUUUUCAUCGACUUGGGAAUGUUGAUUAGUAAUUGCCUGGUUUUUGUCAGUCGGUGUGGUUAUGCAUUGCGCGAUUGUUGACAUUUUUUCUUGGAAAGUUAACAUAGACUCACCGAUCAAAAAAGUAAACAUAGAUUCAGGUGACAUUUACUCUCUUUCUUUUUCUUUAGUUUGACUUACAUGAAGAAUUGUGAAUGCCCAUAAUUAGCAAGAAAGAGGUAAUAAAGGAGAUAUUACUGCAUAAUUUUGCAAAUCAGGGUUCCUUGACCUUAGAGCUUUUGUUGGAAAAUGAUAAGCUAAAGGAAUUAGAAAAGGGACAUAAGUUUGUAUUUGAAGGAAAAUGUUAAUUAGUACUAGACUACUGAGUAACAUUGUAUGUGUUAACUUGUUCCAGAACAACACAAAAGAAUCAGUCUUCAGGAAAUUGAAAGGUAAGCACUUGAUGAUGGCUUCUAGGGUGUUUUGCUCAACUUUUGGGCGAUCAUUAAAAUUACAGUUUGGAGAUUUCUGGGGAAUUCUUUCAACAUUCUAGGAUGUUAAUGGAGGUUAAUGUUAACUUUUUUCACGAUUUCUUUUUGGGUUUGUUAGGGUGAGGUUGAAACUCAUUAAUCAUUUUUAGGCCUUAUAGCAUUCACAUUCUGUGUUAGUGUGUGUGGUGUGGUGGGGUGUACCGUGUUUUUGUUUUUUUAUUUUUUUUUUGGGAGGAGGGGGCAUAUACUAUAUACAAUCUUGGCAUUGGGCAAUAUGCUUAGGAGGUUUCAUAUCUAACUAUAUCCCUAAGCAGAGGUGGCUCUUCAUGAAUCUUUUGUUUUUUUGUCUACUAGCCUUUCCGUUGGUCACCAAACCAUACCACAUGAUUCCAUUGUUUCUUUUGUACCUACUCAUUUCUACUAUGCGCAUCAUGUAUAAAUUGUUAUUGUUUGUUUGUAAGCGUAUCUGAUUUGAAUAUGAUUAUUUCUUUAAUUUGCAAAUUGAUAUUGUUUGACUUGAAAGAAAAGCACCUAGUGUGAGAAAUUUUUUCCAUUGUUUCAUGCUAUUUGGGGUAAAUAAUUAAUUUCCUUUGUUUACUUCUUAUGAAAUUGGGAUGCAAGUCUACACCUUUGAACUACACAACAUGUCAUCAAUUUCCACUAGUGCUGGAGGAUAUCCAUGGCGAACCUGUUCAUGGUGCAACUUACAAUGCAACUAUAUCAAGCUCCCGAUCUAACCCAAGAAGAAUGUACUACCGGUAUCCAAAUUGUACUUUUUCCCAAUGGUAUGAUGAAUAUAUGGAAGGGAUGAAUUAUAAUGUAAAGUUGAGGCGCCGUGAUAUACACCAAAACAAUCAGAUACAAGAAUCACAGGAGCAUAUUAUGGUCAAGCCUGAACCGAUGGUCAUUCAACAACAAAGUAUUGAUACUUUAGGGCGAAUGCAACAGUUUAUAUUUUUCUUGUGUGUAACGAAUGCGAUUAUGUUUGUAUUACUUUUGUUGAAAAAUGUUUGAUAUCA